rnacentral:rRNA from 1 species
CUUUACUCUAGCUUGGCACUGGGUUGUACAUAUAGUUGUGCAGGAUAGGUGGGAGACUAUGAGGGUAGGACGCUAGUUCUAUCGGAGUCAUUGUUGAGAUACCACCCUUCUAUAUGUAUAACUCUAACCCCAUAUGGGGGACAGUGCUUGGUGGGGAGUUUAACUGGGGCGGUUGCCUCCUAAAAUGUAACGGAGGCGCACAAAGGUAUACUAGUCCCGGAUGGAAAUCGGGAUGGUCGUGUAUUCGCAUAAGUAUGCUUGACUGAGAGACCUACAAGUCGAUCAGGGACGAAAGUCGGUGAAAGUGAUCCGGCACCAACACGUGGGAGUGGUGUCGCUCAACGGAUAAAAGUUA